rnacentral:rRNA from 1 species
AGUGAACGCUGGCGGUAGGCCUAACACAUGCGAGUCGAACGGCAGCACAGUAAGAGCUUGCUCUUACGGGUGGCGAGUGGCGGACGGGUGAGGAAUACAUCGGAAUCUACUUUUUCGUGGGGGAUAACGUAGGUAAACUUACGCUAAUACCGCAUACGACCUACGGGUGAAAGCAGGGGAUCUUCGGACCUUGCGCGAUUGAAUGAGCCGAUGUCGGAUUAGCUAGUUGGGGGGGUAAAGGCCCACCAAGGCGACGAUCCGUAGCUGGUCUGAGAGGAUGAUCAGCCACACUGGAACUGAGACACGGUCCAGACUCCUACGGGAGGCAGCAGUGGGGAAUAUUGGACAAUGGGCGCAAGCCUGAUCCAGCCAUACCGCGUGGGUGAAGAAGGCCUUCGGGUUGUAAAGACCUUUUGUUGGGAAAGAAAAGCAGCAGGUUAAUACCCCGCUGUUCUGACGGUACCCAAAGAAUAAGCACCGGCUAACUUCGUG